GACGAACGCUGGCGGCGUGCUUAACACAUGCAAGUCGAACGGGAGUAUUGAAGAAGCUUGCUUUAGAGAUACUUUAGUGGCGGACGGGUGAGUAACGCGUGAGGAGCUGUCCAAUGCAGGGGGACAACAGUUGGAAACGACUGCUAAUACCCCAUAAGCCGAGAGGUACAAGGAUUUAUCCGGCAUGGGAGGUACUCGCGUCCUAUCAGCUAGUAGGUGAGGUAACGGCUCACCUAGGCGAAGACGGGUAGCCGGCCUGAGAGGGCGAACGGCCACACUGGAACUGAGAUACGGUCCAGACUCCUACGGGAGGCAGCAGUGGGGAAUAUUGGGCAAUGGGGGGAACCCUGACCCAGCGACGCCGCGUGGGUGAAGAAAUCCUUCGGGAUGUAAAGCCCUGUUGUAUGGGAAGAGCGGAAGACGGUACCAUACGAGGAAGCCCCGGCAAACUACGUGCCAGCAGCCGCCGUAA
rnacentral:rRNA from 1 species